rnacentral:misc_RNA from 1 species
AGCUACUGCAAUUAUUAGCUUCUUGUAUACACCCUUCUAUCCUAACUGCUAAAUGUCGAGACCUCCUAUCGUUGAAUCUUUAAUUCGGAGCCUUGGGUUUAGCUCAGCAGAC